rnacentral:rRNA from 1 species
UGAGGAAUAUUGGUCAAUGGGCGCAAGCCUGAACCAGCCAUCCCGCGUGCAGGAUGAAGGCCCUAUGGGUCGUAAACUGCUUUUAUAUACCAAGAAAACCCCGGACGUGUUCGGGUUUGACGGUAGUGUAUGAAUAAGCAUCGGCUAACUCCGUGCCAGCAGCCGCGGUAAUACGGAGGAUGCAAGCGUUAUCCGGAUUCAUUGGGUUUAAAGGGUGCGUAGGCGGCUUUUUAAGUCAGUGGUGAAAUCCUGCCGCUUAACGGUAGAAUUGCCAUUGAUACUGAAGAGCUUGAGUACAAUUGAGGUAAGCGGAAUGUGUAGUGUAGCGGUGAAAUGCUUAGAUAUUACACAGAACACCAAUUGCGAAGGCAGCUUACUAAACUGUUACUGACGCUGAUGCACGAAAGCGUGGGGAGCGAACA